UUCGAGUCUUCAAAUAUUGAAUCUUACAAAAAACGAUUAAUGAUCAAUUGAAGUAUACAAUACUUUUAAAAUUAGCACUGUUGGAACUGCCUUGUUGUUCAAUAGUCCUGUCUUUGAUUAUUCCUGGACACAAAUAAAAUGGAUUUGUUGAGAAACAAGGCAGUUCUGUACAGUACUGACUUAUAGGAGGGUUGUGUUUUUUUUUUCAUUCUUGUGCCAACCACAUUGUGGUUUUCAACACAAUUUGAGUUUCGGAACAAACC